UUAGUUAUUGUUUUUUGACCACUUUGACACCUGUACUACCAAGCAAGAUUUGGCGUUAACGAGGUAACUUCAGGUUCAACCCAGGGAUUUGUGUAUUACAACGAUGGAUCACUUGUUACCGGGUU